rnacentral:rRNA from 1 species
UACGUAGGGCGCAAGCGUUAUCCGGAAUUAUUGGGCGUAAAGAGCUCGUAGGCGGUUUGUCGCGUCUGCUGUGAAAGCCCGGGGCUUAACCCCGGGUGUGCAGUGGGUACGGGCAGACUAGAGUGCAGUAGGGGAGACUGGAAUUCCUGGUGUAGCGGUGAAAUGCGCAGAUAUCAGGAGGAACACCGAUGGCGAAGGCAGGUCUCUGGGCUGUUACUGACGCUGAGGAGCGAAAGCAUGGGGAGCGAACAGGAUUAGAAACCCCUGUAGUCC